rnacentral:rRNA from 1 species
ACGAACGCUGGCGGCGUGCCUCAUACAUGCAAGUAGAACGCUGAAGGAGGAGCUUGCUUCUCUGGAUGAGUUGCGAACGGGUGAGUAACGCGUAGGUAACCUGCCUGGUAGCGGGGGAUAACUAUUGGAAACGAUAGCUAAUACCGCAUAAUAGUAGAUGUUGCAUGACAUUUGCUUAAAAGGUGCAAUUGCAUCACUACCAGAUGGACCUGCGUUGUCUUAGCUAGUUGGUGGGGUAACGGCUCACCAAGGCGACGAUACAUAGCCGACCUGAGAGGGUGAUCGGCCACACUGGGACUGAGGCACGGCCCAGACUCCUACGGGAGGCAGCAGGAGGGAAUCUUCGGCAAUGGACGGAAGUCUGACCGAGCAACGCCGCGUGAGUGAAGAAGGUUUUCGGAUCGUAAAGCUCUGUUGUAAGAGAAGAACGAGUGUGAGAGUGGAAAGUUCACACUGUGACGGUAUCUUACCGGAAAGGGACGGCUAACUACGUG